rnacentral:rRNA from 1 species
AGUGAACGCUGGCGGUAGGCCUAACACAUGCAAGUCGAACGGCAGCACAGUAAGAGCUUGCUCUUACGGGUGGCGAGUGGCGGACGGGUGAGGAAUACAUCGGAAUCUACUUUUUCGCGGGGGAUAACGUAGGGAAACUUACGCUAAUACCGCAUACGACCUACGGGUGAAAGCAGGGGAUCUUCGGACCUUGCGCGAUUGAAUGAGCCGAUGUCGGAUUAGCUAGUUGGCGGGGUAAAGGCCCACCAAGGCGACGAUCCGUAGCUGGUCUGAGAGGAUGAUCAGCCACACUGGAACUGAGACACGGUCCAGACUCCUACGGGAGGCAGCAGUGGGGAAUAUUGGACAAUGGGGGCAAGCCUGAUCCAGCCAUACCGCGUGGGUGAAGAAGGCCUUCGGGUUGUAAAGCCCUUUUGUUGGGAAAGAAAAGCAGCAGGUUAAUACCCCGCUGUUCUGACGGUACCCAAAGAAUAAGCACCGGCUAACUUCGUG